CUUUUUAUAGGUUAAUUGCUCAGAUUCACGAUGAGCUUCUUUUUGAAGUCAAAGAUGACCAAGUAGAGGAAUUUGCAGGCAUUAUAAAACAUAUGAUGGAAUCACUCCAGCAUAUUGAUAGUUUUGGAAUACAUCUAAAGGUCCCUUUAAAGGUGAAGAUCUCCACUGGAAAGUCAUGGGGAUCUAUGACUGAGCAUCUGAAAGUAAAGAGCAACAUCCAUUAGCUCCACAGAGUAACAUAAAGCACUUCAUUCUUAGGCUUUUUUUGUGUGUUCUUCUCACAAUUGCUAGGCAACCACUCAGUUGGAGCUUUCAGCAGCUCUUAAUUUCCUGCAAAUUUCUCAGUUACUCUCUGUCUGUAGCCUGGGGCAACAAGGGAAGAAUAUGUCUAGUUUUUUUCUGCCCUUUUUUUCUCUGUUCUUUUUAGAUGGUGCUUCUCUUGUGUAAGCUCCUUCUCCUGGCCGAGUCUAUUUCAGAUCAAAACUAUAACAUGGGUCCCAAACAUUGUGCACUUGUCUUUUUCAUGUUGGGGACAAUACAAUUCUUGUAUGACUGUUUCUUACAAACACAUUUUUUAAGCUUUAAGGCUAUUGUUCUUUAGUCAAUUGCUGUUCAGGUAAAUUCCUAUUUGUAUUAGACUUAUUUGAGUUCAGUUGUUCACAUUAAAGCCACAACUACGUUUUGUUCACUGUUGUAAAUGCCUUGUUGUUGGCAUUGUAUUUUGCAACCCCCCAAGGUUGUUUCACAUACAGAAUUGAGCUCAAAAACAACAUUUUGUUUUUGCCACUUUUUAUUUAAAACUCUGUUAACACUUUCUCAAUUAACUGAGGUUUACAUAACUAAAAAUUAAUAUUUCAAUUGACAUAAUGAGUAAUAUUCUUAAUUAUGUUUGCAUUGGUCUUAUUUUGCCGGUUCACUGUAUUUCUCCAAUAACUUACAAUAAAGGCAGUGUUGUUAAAGUAUGGUUGAGUGAUUCACUUUAUUAAGAGUGUUUGCACAAACUGCAGCACCAACAUCGCUGUUGUAAUUUUUUUUCAUUUACCAUUUUUAAAACCCAAUCCCGUCAAUACAGUUUGAGCUGUCAUUUCCAGGAUUCCAAGUUAGAUAAAGCUAGUGAUAAGGUAACCAAAAAGGUAUAAACUUUUUAUGUAGUUGUCUGUUUUGCUUCCUUUACCCUUUGGAUGUGUCCAUUAAUCCUGCUUAGCUCAUUAGCAAAUACGGAAUUUCCAUGA